rnacentral:rRNA from 1 species
UACGGGGGGAGCAAGCGUUGUUCGGAUUUACUGGGCGUAAAGGGCGCGUAGGCGGCCAGCACAAGUCAGUUGUGAAAUCUCCGAGCUUAACUCGGAAAGGUCAACUGAUACUGUGCGGCUAGAGUGCGGAAGGGGCAACUGGAAUUCUUGGUGUAGCGGUGAAAUGUGUAGAUAUCAAGAGGAACACCUGCGGCGAAGGCGGGUUGCUGGGCCGACACUGACGCUGAGGCGCGAAAGCCAGGGGAGCGAACGGG